UAGGAUAUGGUGUAAUUGGGAGCACAAAGAAUUUUGAGUUCUUUGGUGUAGGUUCGAAUCCUGUUAUCCUAG
rnacentral:tRNA from 1 species